UACAGAGGGUGCAAGCGUUAAUCGGAAUUACUGGGCGUAAAGCGUGCGUAGACGGUUAUUUAAGUCGGGUGUGAAAGCCCCGGGCUCAACCUGGGAAUUGCAUUCGAGACUGAAUAGCUAGGGUGCGGAAGAGGGAAGCGGAAUUUCCGGUGUAGCGGUGAAAUGCGUAGAUAUCGGAAGGAACACCAGUGGCGAAAGCGGCUUCCUGGUCCAGCACCGACGUCAGGCACGAAAGCGUGGGGAGCGAACAGG
rnacentral:rRNA from 1 species